rnacentral:rRNA from 1 species
AGCGAACGCUGGCGGCAGGCUUAACACAUGCAAGUCGAGCGCCCCGCCAGGGGAGCGGCAGACGGGAGAGUAACACGUGGGAACAUACCUUUUGGUUCGGAACAACUGAGGGAAACUUCAGCUAAUACCGGAUAAGCCCUUACGGGGAAAGAUUUAUCGCCGAAAGAUUGGCCCGCGUCUGAUUAGCUAGUUGGUGAGGUAACGGCUCACCAAGGCGACGAUCAGUAGCUGGUCUGAGAGGAUGAUCAGCCUCACUGGGACUGAGACACGGCCCAGACUCCUACGGGAGGCAGCAGUGGGGAAUAUUGGACAAUGGGGGCAACCCUGAUCCAGCCAUGCCGCGUGAGUGAUGAAGGCCUUAGGGUUGUAAAGCUCUUUUGCCCGGGAAGAUAAUGACGGUACCGGGAGAAUAAGCCCCGGCUAACUUCGU